rnacentral:rRNA from 1 species
UACAGAGGUCUCAAGCGUUGUUCGGAUUCAUUGGGCGUAAAGGGUGCGUAGGCGGCGCGGUAAGUCGGGUGUGAAAUCUCGGAGCUUAACUCCGAAACUGCAUUCGAUACUGCCGUGCUUGAGGACUGGAGAGGAGACUGGAAUUUACGGUGUAGCGGUGAAAUGCGCAGAUAUCGGGAGGAACACCGGUGGCGAAGGCGGUUCUCUGGGCCUUACCUGACGCUGAGGAGCGAAAGCGUGGGAGCGAACAGG